GAGGUAAGAUGAAAAUAAAAUACCAUCUAAACUUUUCUGAAGACAAGUCAGUCCCCCUCAGAGAUACC